rnacentral:lncRNA from 1 species
AUCUUGGUUGUCAUGCCAAGCACACGGUUCGAGUUUUCUUAACUAGAUCGUAAGUUAGUUGUCGUACGUAUAUCAGUUUUCUUUGGUUCUAGUUGUCGUGCCGGGCACUGCUACUUAUCAUGCGUGUACUACCUAGACACCUAGUUAACAUAUUGUUUGGUGUUAGUUUCUAUGUUGUUUGUUCCUAACCGGUAUGUCGUACAUUACUAGUGCUCAUCUUUAUUUGUCCCUAAUUGUCAUGUUGUUUUGGCAGGUUAUCAUGUUUUUUGGUCCUAAUUAACAUGUUGUUUUGUCCUGAUUGACAUGUUGUUUGAUAUAUAUUUGUCAUGUAGUGUACUAUCCGGUUGCCAUAUUGUUUUCUACGUAAUACCUAUGACAUUACUAAUCCCCCCUGCCCCCUCUAGUCACUAGUUUAUUCUGGUCGCAGUUGGCGUGUUGUGUUUUUUUAUCACUACUCAAUCAUCAUACAGUAUUUUUUUUAACCCGACCAAGUUAUUUGAUCUUAGAUGUAAUGAUGGUUUAUAUCUUGAGUAAUUUUUUUUUGGAAUGUUCUAAAACUGGGUUGUUGGAGACGUCUGGGCUGCACUGUUGGGCUGGGUUACGGGCUGUACUAAAAAGGCCGGUGCGCUGCGCCGCGCGGACGUUGGCGCGUCGUGCGGAAGCUUACGCACGCGAAGGCUCGGAGCUGGCGCGCCGCUCCCUAGCCACACCGAGCGGUGCCGCCCCUAGUCAAACUCCCAGAUGAGAGGAUAUGCA